AUGUACAGCCAUACCACCCUGAGAACACCUGAUCUUGUCUGAUCUCGGAAGCUAAGCAGGGUCAGGCCCGGUCAGUACUUGGAUGGGAGACCAGCUGGGAAUACUGGGUGCUGUGGGCU
rnacentral:rRNA from 1 species